UGGGGAAUAUUGGACAAUGGGGGCAACCCUGAUCCAGCAAUGCCGCGUGUGUGAAGAAGGCCUUCGGGUUGUAAAGCACUUUUAGUGGGAAAGAAAUCUUUCAUGUUAAUACCAUGGAGGCUUGACGUUACCCAAAGAAAAAGCACCGGCUAACUCUGUGCCAGCAGCCGCGGUAAUACAGAGGGUGCAAGCGUUAAUCGGAAUUACUGGGCGUAAAGCGUACGUAGGUGGUUAUGUAAGUCAGAUGUGAAAUCCCCGGGCUUAACCUGGGAACUGCAUUUGAAACUGCAUGACUAGAGUAGGAUAGAGGAAAGUGGAAUUUCCGGUGUAGCGGUGAAAUGCGUAGAGAUCGGAAGGAACACCAGUGGCGAAGGCGGCUUUCUGGAUUCAUACUGACACUGAGGUACGAAAGCGUGGGGAGCAAACAGG
rnacentral:rRNA from 1 species